UACGUAGGGACCGAGCGUUGUCCGGAAUCAUUGGGCGUAAAGAGCGUGUAGGCGGCUAUUUAAGUCCUGCGUGAAAUCCUGCGGCUCAACCGCAGACGGUCGUGGGAAACUGGAUGGCUAGAGUGCGGGAGAGGAGAGUGGAAUUCCCGGUGUAGCGGUGAAAUGCGCAGAUAUCAGGAGGAACACCAAUUGCGAAGGCAGCUCGCUGGGACGUUACUGACACUGAGGCGCGAAAGCGUGGGGAGCAAACAGG
rnacentral:rRNA from 1 species